rnacentral:rRNA from 1 species
UGAGUAGCUUGCUAUGAGCUGUUUUAGCGGCGGACGGGUGAGUAACGCGUGGGUAACCUGCCUCAUACAGGGGGGAUAACAGUUAGAAAUGACUGCUAAUACCGCAUAAGACCACGGAGCCGCAUGGUACAGUGGUAAAAACUCCGGUGGUAUGAGAUGGACCCGCGUCUGAUUAGCUAGUUGGUGAGGUAAUGGCCCACCAAGGCGACGAUCGGUAGCCGGACUGAGAGGUUGAACGGCCACAUUGGGACUGAGACACGGCCCAGACUCC